CUCAACUGUAAUAGUUUAUAAUAAAUUUAUGGCAAUUUGAUAUGCUUAGAUAUUAAUUCACGUUGUGCGGAGAACGAAUGGGAGUUUUAAUUUUGUAUUUAGACCAAAAUUUCAUCAAACGUGGUAGAGCUAUACGCUGGAGUGUGUUUUGAGCGGAUCAGCUAAAGAUUCACGUGAGCAGUCGAAAUCUAAAAAGUAGGCGUAGCCCCCGGGGAAAAGCGCCGUCUGCUACUAGCAGAAAUCAUUAUUCUUGGUCAUCCAAAAUGAACUGAUAACUACUAGCAAAGAGAAUAGACAUGAUUGUGCUGUAUCUUGCUCAAAGUACAAGAUCUGAAAAUAAAUCAAUUGGGCAGCGAGGAUGGGUUUCAGAUCUGUUUAUCAUUUCUCUCAUAUCCCGAUUCAAAUUCUGCGACUUACUGCAAAUGUCAAGAUGAAGUUCCAGAAUUGUUAUCUACCAGGCGAAUCUUCGAAGUGACAUCAAGUCGCAUUUUCGAUGUGUUUUUUGUUUUUCAUAUUGUUAUUCAUAAUUUUCGUAAUUUUACUUUUGCUAGAAAGUUGACUCAGACUAAAUAUUGAAAUACUUCAAUCUA